rnacentral:rRNA from 1 species
GAUCCUGGCUCAGAUUGAACGCUGGCGGCAGGCCUAACACAUGCAAGUCGAACGGUAACAGGAAGAAGCUUGCUUCUUUGCUGACGAGUGGCGGACGGGUGAGUAAUGUCUGGGAAACUGCCUGAUGGAGGGGGAUAACUACUGGAAACGGUAGCUAAUACCGCAUAACGUCGCAAGACCAAAGAGGGGGGACCUUCGGGCCUCUUGCCAUCGGAUGUCGCCCGAGAGUGGGUAUUAGCUAGGUAGGGUAGGGGUAACCGG